rnacentral:rRNA from 1 species
UACGAAGGGGGCUAGCGUUGCUCGGAAUCACUGGGCGUAAAGCGCACGUAGGCGGAUCUUUAAGUCAGGGGUGAAAUCCUGGAGCUCAACUCCAGAACUGCCUUUGAUACUGAGGAUCUUGAGUCCGGGAGAGGUGAGUGGAACUCCGAGUGUAGAGGUGAAAUUCGUAGAUAUUCGGAAGAACACCAGUGGCGAAGGCGGCUCACUGGCCCGGUACUGACGCUGAGGUGCGAAAGCGUGGGGAUCAAACAGG